CGCCCACGCAUCCCUAGCAACGACUCUACCACAAUUGCCUUCUUCUUUCUUGGUCUCACUGCCUUUGUAACACCCAAAAUUUGAAUUUCAAUUAAUAGGAUUUAAUUUGAAUUAUUUAAGAAUUUUAGUGAGCAUUUAAUGUAGCAAAUAAAUAAUUUUUGUGAAAAUUAAAAUUUAUCCUAAGUUUAGUAAUAUGAUUUUAUGCAUUCAUGCCGAAGAAUAUUUUAUUUGUAUUGUGUGCCUCUGGCUUGAAUUUAUUUGCAUUCACAAUUUUAUUUGGAAAAGGUUUUAGGAAAAGAAAACAGAAAAUAAAAUAAAAUGGAAAAGGAAGGAAUAAAAAAAAGAAAAGGGCUCCAGCCCGACACCCCGCAGCCCAGUACCCCUUUCCCCUUCCCUUUUCCCUCCCCGGCCCACUCUUUUCCGGCCCAGCGCGCAGAGCGCAUCAGCCAGGCCGCAGCGCCCCCUUCCCUCUCUUUAACUGGCGGCCGGGCCCCAUCCUUCCUUCCACUGACGCGUGGGACCCGCGGGACAGCAUCCCCAUCUCCUACCUCUGUGCAACCGAACCGGACUCAGCGCCGAAUCAAUCCCGCGAUUUCCUUGCUAUUUUCGCGUGCUAUGCCCCCAUAAAACUCCCAAAUCAACCCCCGCGACACUCCUUUCGCAUCUAAACCAACUAAUCCGUGCCCUAGCUUCGUCUUCCGCGAGAAUUGGAUCUCGCCGAGAGUCUUCUCCGCCUCCUCGCGCGGCCGACCCUCUUCCAAGCCCCCUCGGGUCACGAUAGGAGCACCGGUGAGUUCGCAAGGAGCUCCGCACCAUUCCCGUGCUCUCGGUUCUGUGUUUGGUGCCCUAAAACGCCGAGGCCGUGAACUCCGGUGAGCCCAACCAUGGCGCCACCGCGCCGGAGGCCAGAGAGCCGGCCGGCCCGCCGCCUGGGAAUCUCUGGAGUAAUCUCGGCC
rnacentral:lncRNA from 1 species